CACGGGGGUUGCGAGCGUUGUCCGGAAUUACUAGGCGUAAAGGGCAGGCAGGCGGAUCCAUAAGUUUAUCGUUUAAGGCGUCGGCUUAACCGGCGUAGGGCGGUAGAUACUGUGGAUCUGGAAUGCGGUUGGGGAAGACAGAAUUCCUGGUGUAGCGGUGGAAUGCGCAGAGAUCAGGAGGAAUACUGAAGGCGAAGGCAGUCUUCCAAGCCGUUAUUGACGCUCAACUGCGAAGGUGUGGGUAUCAAACAGGAUUAGAUACCCUGGUAGUCCCU
rnacentral:rRNA from 1 species